CGUAGGAGGCAAGCGUUAUCCGGAUUCACUGGGCGUAAAGCGCGUGCAGGCGGUGCGGUAAGUUGGGCGUGAAAUCUCCCGGCUCAACUGGGAGAGGUCGUCCAAUACUACCGUACUCGAGAGCAGAAGAGGAAGAUGGAAUUCCCGGUGUAGUGGUGAAAUGCGUAGAUAUCGGGAGGAACACCAGUGGCGAAGGCGAUCUUCUGGUCUGUUUCUGACGCUCAGACGCGACAGCUAGGGUAGUAAACGGGAUUAGAGACCCCGGUAAUCCUAGCCGUAAACGAUGUGAACUUGGCGUUGGUGGGUUAAACUCCAUCAGUGCCGUAGCAAACGCGAUAAGUUCACCGCCUGGGGACUACGGCCGCAAGGUUA
rnacentral:rRNA from 1 species